AAUUUAUAAGUUUAGUAAUAUAGGAUGUGGGUUAGAUGUGGUAAGAAAAUUAUAUUUAGAAGAAAUAAAUUAAUUUUUAUUAGUUAAAUUUUAUGGAUUAAAAGAAUAAGUAUAUUAGAUAAAAGGUAAAAGUUAGUGGGAUUUUGAAGUAAUUUUUUUUAAGUGUAAUUUUUUUGUUAUAUUUAAUUUAUAUUUUAUGUUACUAAGUUUAUAGGUU
rnacentral:misc_RNA from 1 species